AAUGCCACCAUAUUGACAACACCCAUGUGGGAAACUUUUUCUCUUAUUAUCAUCUAUACAGAGUAAAAAUUCAAUUCUAAUCAGAACUAAUUAUAAUCCUACAUCUCCAACUGAAGAUUCCAAUUUCUAAAUUUCUAGAGCUAAAUCUACUACCCUAUGAUCCCUAGAGAAAAUAUGAGAGAAAAAUCGGUGGAGAUAGAGAAUCUUCUGAUCAAGAAACUGCCACCCCAUCUCCACUGCUAUUCAUGAGACAAAACCUGGUCGGCCUGGGCUGGAAAUUCUUCCUCCUUCGGGCAUCAUGGCUAGAUGGCUUGAUGAUCUGCAUGAGGAAAGCCUUGAGAAGAUUGGCCUUUGUAACCGUCUUUGGCUCCAACCUGUUAAUAUUUGCUGUUGAUCUGCCACAAGGUUUGAGAGAGCCCCUGUGGAGGCUGCACCGGAAUGAGCCAGGGUGGGCGGUGGGAGAGCAAAGACAUGUCCUUGAAGAAGAAGAGUUUUUGGUAGCCAUUUCUGCAUGCAGUUCCCCACUGGUUUGCCUUUGAUUCCUUUUAGUGUUAAGCCUGGAUAAAGACGGGCCUUCAUAUUUGUAGCUUCUUUGAAUGCUCGUACCAAAUUAGCCCUGGCUUUC
rnacentral:lncRNA from 1 species